CCUACGGGUGGCAGCAGUGAGGAAUAUUGGUCAAUGGGCGCUAGCCUGAACCAGCCAAGUAGCGUGAAGGAUGACUGCCCUAUGGGUUGUAAACUUCUUUUAUACGGGAAUAAAGUGCAGUACGUAUACUGCUUUGCAUGUACCUUAUGAAUAAGGAUCGGCUAACUCCGUGCCAGCAGCCGCGGUAAUACGGAGGAUCCGAGCGUUAUCCGGAUUUAAUGGGUUUAAAGGGAGCGUAGGCGGUUUGGUAAGUCAGUGGUCAAAGCCUGGGGCUCAACCCCAGGACGGCCAUUGAUACUGGCAGUCUCGAGUAGGAGAGAGGUAUGCGGAAUGCGCGGUGUAGCGGUGAAAUGCAUAGAUAUCACGAAGAACUCCGAUUGCGAAGGCAGCAUGCUGGCUCGACACUGACGCUGAGGCGCGAAAGCGUGGGUAUCAAACAGGAUUAGAUACCCUGGUAGUC
rnacentral:rRNA from 1 species